CAAUAGCGUAUAUUAAAGUUGUUGCAGGUAAAAAGCUCGUAGUUGGACCUUGGACCUGGACAGGCGGUCCGCCUCACGGCGAGUACUGUCUUGCUGGGUCUUUCCUCUUGGUGAUCUGUUGUUUCGGCAGCAGGGAACCAGGACCUUUACUUUGAAAAAAUUAGAGUGUUCAAAGCAGGCUCGACGCCGGAAUAUAUUAGCAUGGAAUAAUAAAAUAGGACGUGCGGUUCUAUUUUGUUGGUUUUUGGAAUCGCCGUAAUGAUUAAUAGGGACAGUCGGGGGCAUUAGUACUCACAUGCUAGAGGUGAAAUUCUUGGAUUUUGUGAAGACUAACUUCUGCGAAAGCAUUUGCCAAGGAUGUUUUCAUUAA
rnacentral:rRNA from 1 species